CAGCCGCCGCGGUAAUACGUAGGUGGCAAGCGUUGUCCGGAGUUAUUGGGCGUAAAGGGCUCGCAGGCGGUUUCUUAAGUCUGAUGUGAAAGCCCCCGGCUCAACCGGGGAGGGUCAUUGGAAACUGGGAAACUUGAGUGCAGAAGAGGAGAGUGGAAUUCCACGUGUAGCGGUGAAAUGCGUAGAGAUGUGGAGGAACACCAGUGGCGAAGGCGACUCUCUGGUCUGUAACUGACGCUGAGGAGCGAAAGCGUGGGGAGCGAACAGGAUUAGAUACCCCUGUAGUCCCUGUCUCUUAUAA
rnacentral:rRNA from 1 species